rnacentral:rRNA from 1 species
AGCCAAUAGAUACCCAGGUAGUCCACGCCCUAAACGAUGUCUACUAGUUGUUGGUGGAGUAAAAUCCAUGAGUAAACGCAGCUAACGCGUGAAGUAGACCGCCUGGGGAGUACGGUCGCAAGAUUAAAACUCAAAGGAAUUGACGGGGGCCCGCACAAGCGGUGGAUUAUGUGGAUUAAUUCGAUGCAACGCGAAAACCUUACCUGGCCUUGACAUGCCACUAACGAAGCAGAGAUGCAUUAGGUGCCCGUAAGGGAAAGUGGACACAGGUGCUGCAUGGCUGUCGUCAGUUCGUGUCGUGAGAUGUUGGGUUAAGUCCCGCAACGAGCGCAACCCUUGCCAUUAAUUGCCAUCAUUUAGUUGGGCACUUUAAUGGGACUGCCGGUGACAAACCGGAGGAAGGUGGGGAUGACGUCAAGUCCUCAUGGCCCUUAUGGCCAGGGCUUCACACGUAAUACAAUGGUCGGUACAGAGAGUUGCCAACCCGCGAGGGGUAGCUAAUCUCAGAAAGCCGAUCGUAGUCC